GCCAAUAUGUUGCCUUCUUCUGCAUUUGCACCUGCACCUUACUAGUUUUCUUUCUUUUGUUCUCUUUAUAAACUUUCAAGAAAAUCAUGAUUUCAAGAAAAUCAAGAUUUUCUCUUAUAAAGCAGAAUAAGAGAUGGGAAGAAGAAAGAGGUGUAGGUGUGAGUGCAGGAGAAUGCCAUUUUGGA
rnacentral:pre_miRNA from 1 species